AUGCAUUUUUCCUUGUACAGCAAAAAAAUGACACACUCAAAGGGUAGAACAAGAAAUAACGGGUUCAAGCUUGAAAAAUUUAGGUUUAAGAAGGAAAUAGGAAGAAAUUGGUUGUGUGGGUGUGAGUAUUGGUGGGCAGGCUUGGCUUCAGUUCAGUAAUGUGUCUUGCACCAUGUUGUGUUUUGUUACACAUCGCCGGUUGACUCUCCUUGUUUUCGAGUGAACAUAGGAACAUAAGAAAUAAGGGAAGUGCAAGAAGCGACCAGGCUUACACGUGGCAGUCCCUGUAUGAAAUAUACCUACCUAUUUCCAUUUAUUAUUCCCAUCCAUAAACCCGUCUAAUCUUCUCUUAAAGCUCCCUAAUGUUCUAGCACGAACAACAUGAUUACUGAGUCCGUUCCACUCAUCUACCACUGUAUUUGACCAUUGUAUCAUAUGUCUGAUGAUAAUUGGAAUAUCAAUUAUUUUAUUUAUUUGCUUAUUUCUGAAUUAAUUCGUGUAUCAGUAUAUUUAUGUAGACGAGGAUUAAGCUCUGUACACGGUGCGCAAGCCGUACGUCUUUGUGACGUGGCAGUGGGGAGGUGAGGUGAGGUGGCAGCAGGGUGAUGAGGUGGCGACGAACGGUCAGCCAGGGUUAGUUGCUGUCCGCCCUAACCUGAAGUGUGUUGUGAUGGAUCACUGAAUGUAAUAUUUAUUCAAGACUUGGGAUUAUUCUGUUAUGCUGUUUAUGAAUCCAACUACUGGUUCGGAAAGUUCAUGGAGGCAAUCCAUAUGCGGCUGGAGCUACCGCUCGCUCUAAGAUGGCAGAAGUGGAUUCAGGGAAGAUGGAGGAACUGAAGAUACAACGAAGCACUGCCAAGAGAAAGUUUACCAGGAAGAGCAACAUUUUCAAGGAGAGUGUACUGCAAGAGGAUCCUAUACCAGUGCUACAACACAAUUAAGAUGAGGUUAGUCGUGUCUAUAAGGAAGUCGAAAGUGCCCAUGAAGCGUAUACAGACUUUUUGAGUGUAACUGGUGCUGAGGACAAAGUUUUAGAUGAAGAAGAUCAAUAUAAUAUCAUUGACUUAGAGAGAAAAAGGAAGGAAUAUCACAUAUUAUUGGCUAAAAAUCUGGAUCAGCUAUCAGAGGUAAAUAAUGCGGGUGAUAAAAAAGUGAAAGUUAAAGCGUUGAAACCUCCUAUGAUUGAUGGCGACGUACGCGAAUACCCAACAUUCAAGGCAGAUUUUGAAAUGUUAAUGAAAGAUUCAUUCGGGAAAGAUCCAUUCGCUUUGAAACAAUGUUUGACAGGUGAAGCACUUAAAACUGUCAAAGGUGUAGAAACUGACUAUGAUGAAAUGUUUGAGAGACUUAAUGAAAGGUAUGGUAACAGCAAGAAGAUUGUUGAUAUAGUUCUCUGUGAUCUUAAGACAUUAAGAAAACUUGCUGAUGGAAAUACCAAAGGAUUUGUGAAAAUGGUCGAAAAGGUGGAAAGAUGUUGGCUGGAUCUGAAAAGGAUGAACCUAACAGUUGAAAUGAAGACAAGUAACACAGUGAAUCAUCGAAAAAAAAUCUUCCCUAUGACACAAAAACGGGAAUGGGUCAUACUAGCUGAAAGCAUCACUGACUCUGAUCAAAUUUUUGAUGAGCUGCUUAAAUUCUUACUAAGAGAGAAGAGAGUACUUGAGUAUAUGGAUUCCAGUAUACGAGUGACAGGAAAUGUAGACAAAUCUAAUGUGCAUAAUGUUGCAGGAUCGCUGCGGGAUGAUUCAGGUGACAUAAUGGAAUGGCUUCAGGAAAAUAAAGAAUGCCAGAGUAAGAAACUAGAGCAAUGUAUGACCAAUUUAGUCAACAUUGUGACGAGUAUGACGAAUAGUGGUAGUCAAAAUUCGCAUGCAGGAGACACAAUUAAGUAUAACUGCUGGUUUCAUGGUACUGAUAAUCAUGAUAUCUUGGAGAGCACGACAUUUCAAAGGUUAGAUAAUUAUGGGAAGAUUGAUGCUCUGCGGAAGAAUGGUAUCUGUUUCAACUGCCUCAGAGGAGUUCAUGUAGCAAGUCAAUGUAACUUGAAAAAAACAUGUGAUGUUAAAGGGAACAAUAACAUCCGCUGUAGCAGACCUCAUCACAACAUGCUGCAUCGAGCUCACGUAGAGGGAAUUAUGUUUCACAGCACAAGUCAAAGGCAAAAUACACCAUUGAUUAGAAAGACACUGUUAAUGAUCAGUAAAGUAUUCAGUCAGGGACGACCUGUAACGACACUCUGGGAUUCAGGGUCUGAUAUAACGAUCAUAACGCACGCGCUUGCUUCAAAAUUUGGAUUAGAGAGCAGAGACAUAGAACUAUCAAUGACAAAAGUAGGCAAUAUAACUGAAAAAUUCCCUAGCAAAGAAUACAUACUCCCUCUCACAGAUAAGGAUGGAAACGAAUUGUUCAUAAGAGCAGUAGGAAUGAAGGAAAUAUCUUCUAACCUAAUGGAGGUGGACGUCUCUGAUGUUGUCAGCCUGUUUGAAGAGCACAAUAUAUCACAUUGUGACAUUGAAAGACCCAGUGGAAGUAUUGAUCUACUUGUAGGUGCUGACAAUUGCGAACUAUUGGCCACUGUUGUAGGAGUAAAUGGCAAAUGGUAAAUGGUAAAUGGCAGUUAAUGCAGAAUCGGUUCGGAUUUUGUAUCAGAGGAUCUCACCCCCGUAUUAAAUCCCGUGGUAAGAGUAAUAGCCACGUUAGUGUCAGAGUGAGUCAUUUGGCUAACUUUUCUCAUGUCAAUGAUAUAUUAGGGGAAUCUAAAUCCAGCAUUAAGGCGAGUCUUGACAAUUUCUUUGAUGUAGACAAUCUAGGAACUCACUGUAUUCCCAAAUUUGGUAAUUAUAAGUGUGGCAAAUGUGUUAUUGCAAAUAAUGAUUACACUAUAAAUGAAGAAAAGGAAUUAGCCAUCAUAAAAAAGGGAUUAUAUUAUGAUGAAGUAAACUGCCAGUGGACGGUGGAGUAUCCCUGGGUAAAAGACCCAAGACUUUUGCCUAAUAAUAUUUCAGUAGCUAUUGCUAGGAUGAAAUCAACAGAGAAAAGACUUGCUAAAUUAGGUCCUAAUUAUUCCAAAUCUUAUCAGGAUCAAAUAGAGGACAUGGUCAUCAGAAAUGUAUGCAGGAAAUUAUCAGAAACAGAACAGCAAACUUAUAAUGGUCCUAUUCACUACGUGCAGCAUCAUGAGGUCCAUAAACCUGAUUCACUAUCAACACCUCUCAGAAUUGUUUUUAAUUCAUCAGCAUCACAUAUGGGUCAUGUCUUGAACGACUACUGGUGUAAAGGUCCGAAUGUCUUCAAUAAUCAGUUGACUGUUUUAUUUAGAUUUCGUCAAAGAGAGAUUGCAAUUGUUGGUGACAUCAGCAAAAUGUACCACACUAUCAAACUCAGUUUAUUAGAUCAACACACUCACAGGUUCGUCUGGAGAGAUAUGAGACUAAAAGAUGUACCCGACCAUUAUGCUCUUACAGCUGUAGCGUUCGGCGAUAAUCCAAGUGGAAUUACAGCAAUGUUGGCUUUGAAACAUACUGCUGAAAUUAAUGUAAACAACUAUCCUAAAGUAGCGGAUAUGAUUAUCAAUAACACCUAUGUAAAUGACAUAUUAUAUUCUACAGACACAAAGGCUGAAGCUUAUGAUUUGAUAAAGAAUGCUGAGAAAGUGUUGUCAUCUGGAAACUUCAAGAUAAAGCACUGGAUAGUUUCUGGUAUAAAUACUGCAUUUAGUAAUGUCAAUCUACAUUCCACUGAUAAAGAAAAAAAUCUAGGAUUGAUUUGGAAUGCAAAGGAAGAUGACUUCACAUACAAAGUUAGGUGUGAAUUUUUUCUGAAAAGCGACGUAAAGUUCACAUAGGGCCUGGCUUGACUAGAGGAGAUAUUACAGCCAAGCUUCCAGAUGUGCUAAGAAAAUAAUAUUGAGUCAGAUUGCUUCAGUUUAUGAUCCACUAGGACUAAUUACACCUUUCACAUUAAAAGCUAAAUUAAUGAUGAGGAAAUUGGUGACUCAAAGCGGUAAUUCUACCUUAGGUGACGAAGUGAAGUGAAGGGGAUGGGAUGACCCACUAUCAAAUGAUGAAAGAGAAACAUGGAAGUCCUUCUUCAUAGAACUUUAUGAUUUAGAAACCAUUUUCCUUAGGAGAUGUCUAAGACCUGCAUCUGCUAUAGGAAACCCAAUACUUGUUGUAUUUUCUGAUGGUAGCACUCAAGCAUAUGGUACUUGUGCAUACAUUCGGUGGAAACUGGGAUCUGGCAAUUAUGAGGCAAAUCUCAUUGCAGCUAAAGGUAGGAUAGCUCCUUCCAGGCAACUAACGGUUCCAAGACUGGAAUUGUGUGGAGCUGUUUUAGCAUGUAGACUAAGGGAGGUAAUUGUUAAAGAAUUUAACUGGACAUUUGAUUAUGUUGUUCACAUUGUAGACUCUGCUAUUGUGAGGGCACAAAUACAGAAAGAAUCAUAUGGAUUCAGUACAUUUGUUGCAAUAAGAAUUGCAGAGAUUCAGACAAAAUCUAGUCCGAAUGAGUGGUGGUGGGUCAAAUCAAAGGACAACCCUGCUGAUCUAAGGCCCUCUCCCCCUACUUGCUUAGGAAAGGGGUCAGUAUGGCAAAAUGGUCCAGACUACUUAAGGCAUCAAAUGACAAGUUGGCCCAUUAGUAAAUCACUUAGCGAAGAAUCUUUGCCUGAUAGAGUGGGCGUGACUCUCUUAUGUAACUUAACAAAAAAAAUCUCCAAAUCUGAACCUUAGUAUAAUGAAAAUAGGGAAAUACAGUAGUUAUAACAAACUUAUUACAGUAACCGCCAGAGUAUUCGCGGUGUUAAGAAAAAAAUCCUUCAAAGCCAUAUUUACCAAUCCAUCUGCUGAGAUGCUAAAUCUCGCUGAAACAUCAUGGGUUAAGGAAGUGCAAAAGGAUAUUUCCUCUGACUGGAAUACCAGACACCAAAUAUUAGGUCCUAGCAUAAAUGAUGAAGGUAUUAUUGUAGUUGGGGAGAGAAUAUCGAAAUGGCUCAAAGACAACUGGAACUAUAAUAGCUUUACCCUUCUUACUUGUGAGCAUCCAUUUUCCAAGUUAUAUAUUAAGCAUUUACAUAACAUUGAUCAUGCUGGAACUGAUGUGACUUUGGCCAAACUGCAAAGUAAAUACUGGAUUCUUGGUGUUCGUAGAGAAAUGAAAUUUAUCAAGAAUAAAUGUGUGAAGUGCAGAAAGUGGAACAAGAUUUGUGAAGGUCAGAAAAUGGGUCAAUUGAUACCAGAAAGACUGAAGCCUUCUCCUCCAUUUUACCACACAUCCCUUGAUCUGUUUGGUCCCCUUUUUGUUAAAGACACAGUCAAGCGUAGAACAAAGCGCAAAGUAUAUGGAGUAAUAUUCAACUGUCUUAUGUGCCGAGCAGUUCACGUUGACUUGACUGAAGGUUACAGCACAGAGGAUUUUCUAACCACUUUCAAAAGAUUUGUAGCUCUGAGGGGAUUUCCCAAAAUGAUACAUUCUGAUGGAGGAAGUCAGCUGGUUGCAGCUAAUAAGGAACUUAGACAAAUGAUGAGCACUUGCAAUAUGUCAGAUAUUUUGCAGUUUGGAUGAAAUCAAGGUAUGACUUGGUCCUUUAACAAAGCUGCUAAUGCCCCUCGGCAAAAUAGAUGUAGCGAGGCUCUAAUAAAGGUGAUAAAAAGAUCCAUCACGAUGGCGGUUGGAGACAGCACCCUAACGUUCGGAGAACUACAGACUGCGUUGUUUGAAGUAGCUAACCUUACCAAUGAGAGACCAAUUGGUAUUAAGCCCGGAACUGACUUCGAAGUUAUUUGUGUCCCAAUGAUCUUAUUCUUGGAAGGACAAGCAUUAAAGUUCCCAGUGGAACGUGGACUAAUACUAUUGACCCAAAACCUAGAUUAAAGUUUAUCCAGAAUAUUAUGUCAAACUUUUGGAGGAGGUGGCAACGUGAUUACUUUCCUACUCUCGUAGUCAGACAGAAAUGGCACGUAUCUAAAAGAAAUGUUGCAACUGGAGAUUUUGUUCUGUUACAAGAUAGUAAUGCAGUGGUAGGAAAAUGGAAACUGGCUCAAAUAGUAGAGGUAACUCCGAGUCAGGAUGGUAAAGUAAGGAACGUGAUUGUAAGAUACAAAAAUCCUAAACCUGGCAUGAAAUAUGAAGGUGAACCUGAUAUGAUGGUAAAGAGGUCCGUUCAUAAAUUAGUAGUUCUACUCCCUGUUGAGGAACAAUGUACAUAGGCAUUUCUUUGCUUAUGGGAUGGAGUGUAUCAUCAGUCUGAUGAUAAUUGGAAUAUCAAUUAUUUUAUUUAUGUGUUUAUUUCUAAAUUAGUUCGUGUAUCAGAAAUUUAUGUAGACGAGAAUUAAGCUCUGUACACGGUCCGCAAGCUAUACGUCUUUGUGACGUGGCAGUGGGGAGGUGAGGUGAGGUGGCAGCAGGGUGAUGAGGUGGCGACGAACGGUCAGUCAGGGUUAGUUGCUGUCCGCCCUAACCUGAAGUGUGUUGUGAUGGAUCACUGAAUGUAAUAUUUAUUCAAGACUUGGGAUUAUUCUGUUAUGCUGUUUAUGAAUCCAACUACUGGUUCGGAAAGUUUAUGGAGGCAAUCCAUAUGCGGCUGGAGCUACCGCUGUGAGUUAUAAUUCUAAUGAUUAUUAUAAGUGGAAAUCAAUGUGGUUGAUUGGUUAUAUGAUUGAUUUUUAUUUGUACUUAGCAUAUGGUGAAUUCUACAUACAUCCAUUCUCAAUUUUCAUAUUGAUCUACUUAUUAAUGAUGUUUGGGUACUUAAGGUGAUACAAAAAAUAAAAUAAAAUUGUUUGGGCUAUGUGUUUAUUGUAAUGAUUUUGACAGGUCCAAACGCUUGUAAUAAAGAAGUUAUGGCAGUGUUCAAGCUGUGCUAACGGAUGCCUCUAUACAACCAUGAACUAUUGAGCAUAACAACUCUACACACCAGAACUCCUCCCCGCCCCACUGCUGCACGACCUAACCAUCUGAGACAUGAUACGCAGCCGGAAAUUCGUACACUGGUAGACUCGUUUUUUUUUUUUUUUACUU